GACUAUUGGCACACACCUGGAAUCCCAGCUACCAGGGAGGCUGAGCCUGGUGGAUGACCUUGAGCUCAGUAGUUCUGAGUUGGAGUGGGCUAUUGAUCUGAACUAAGUUUGAACUAAUUAUCUGAACUAAGUCUGAACUAAGUUUGACAUCAAUAUAGUGAGGUUCUGGGAGCAGGGGGCCACCAGGUUGUCUAAAGGGAGGUGAAUGAAUCCAGGUUAGAAACAGAACAGGUUAAGCAAAGCUUCUGUGCCAAUCAGUAGUGGUAAUGAAUCCACUAGUAGCCCCUGUAUUUCCAGCAUGGGCAAGAAAGAGAGACCCAGUCUUAC
rnacentral:SRP_RNA from 1 species